rnacentral:sRNA from 1 species
AUGCUUCUAAGCAAGUUUUGUUGGUUUUAGACUCUUUUGGCAGAAAAUGGGUAUAAGUGUUGUCUAAACACUCCGAAUUCAUCUAUAACUCUUAUAAUUAGUCAAAUGCUUUGGAUUAUGACACAUUAUGACCAUAGAAACACUAACAAAGCUAUUUACUCCUUCUAAGCAAUAUUAUGUUGGUUAUAGCUUCUUUUGAGAGAAAAUGGGUAUAAGUGUUCUCUAAACACUCUUAAUCUAACUCAAACUCUUAUAAUUAGUCAAAUGCAUUGGAUUGUGACACAUUUUGACUAUAGAUACACUAACAAAUCUAUUGACUGCUUCUAAGCAAGUAUUGUUGGUUUUAGACUCUUUUGGGAGAAAAUGGGUAUUAAUGUUGUCUAAAAACUUCUAAUCCAUCUCUAACUCUUAUAAUUAGUCAAUUGCAUUGGAUUGUGACACAUAUUGACCAUAAAAAUACUAACAAAGCUAUUUACUUCUUCUAAGCAAUGUUUUGUUGGUUUUAGCUUCUUUUAAAAGAUAAUGGAUAUAAGUGUUGUCUAAACACUCCUAAUCCAUCUCUAACUCUUAUAAUUACUCAAAUGCAUUAGAUGGUGAUACAUUUU